rnacentral:rRNA from 1 species
GCUUUGAAAGUUUCUAGUGGCGGACGGGUGAGUAACACGUGAGUUACCUGCCCCGAAGUGGGGGAUAGCCUUCCGAAAGGGAGAUUAAUACCCCAUGUGAUCGCAAGAUUAAAGGCGGCCAUCUUUGAUGGCUGUCGCUUCGGGAUGGGCUCGCGGCCUAUCAGCUAGUUGGUGAGGUAACUGCUUACCAAGGCGAUGACGGGUAGCUGGUCUGAGAGGACGACCAGUCACACUGGAACUGAGACACGGUCCAGACACCUACGGGUGGCAGCAGUCGAGAAUCAUUCGCAAUGGGCGAAAGCCUGACGGUGCGGCGCCGCGUGGAGGAUGAAGGCCCUAGGGUCGUAAACUCCUGUCAUCAGGGAGUAAUGGCUCACGUAGUAACUGCCGUGAGCAGUGAUAGUACCUGAAGAGGAAGGGACGGCAAACUUCGUGCCAGCAGCCGCGGUAAUACGAAGGUCUCAAGCGUUGUUCGGAUUUACUGGGCGUAAAGCGUCUGUAGGCGGAGUGGUAAGUCAGAUGUGAAAUCCCGGGGCUCAACCCCGGAACUGCAUCCGAUACUGCCACCCUAGAGGGUCGGAGGGGAGUCUGGAAUUCUCGGUGUAGCAGUGAAAUGCGUAGAUAUCGAGAGGAACACUAG